rnacentral:tRNA from 3 species
GCCCCCGUUGGCUAAUUGGAUAAGCUCCGAUCCUUCUAAGUUCGUUUAUGCAGGUUCGAGUCCUGCCGGGGGCGCCA